CGUUGACCUGCGAUAAGAAAUUCCAAGUUCACAGAGACUAGUAUCAGGAAAAAUAUCAAAACAUCCAUUACCUACGAUUCUCACAUUUUUGAGGACUUCAGAUUGAGAAAUUCUCUGAGAAAAGCAAUUGAGCAAAAUGAUGGGAACAUCACUACCGCUGACCAUAGCAUAAAACAAAACUGCCUAUGGAAAGUACAGAAAACGAAAAGAAAAGUGUGGCAGCAGCAAUGAUAACAGGAAGAAAAGUUGUGAAUAGUUUGGCACCUGUUAACCUACAUUUCUAGGUUAACAUAAAUUGAAGAAAAUGUCGAAUAAAUUGAAAAGAGGGUGAACCUUUCUCCAUAGAGGUACUUCGUAUUUCUUCAGGUAAG